rnacentral:rRNA from 1 species
CCUACGGGUGGCAGCAGUGAGGAAUAUUGGUCAAUGGACGCAAGUCUGAACCAGCCAUGCCGCGUGCAGGAAGACGGCUCUAUGAGUUGUAAACUGCUUUUGUACGAGGGUAAACGCAGAUACGCGUAUCUGUCUGAAAGUAUCGUACGAAUAAGGAUCGGCUAACUCCGUGCCAGCAGCCGCGGUAGUACGGAGGAUUCCAGCGUUAUCCGGAUUUAUUGGGUUUAAAGGGUGCGUAGGCGGUCGGAUAAGUUAGAGGUGAAAUCCCGAGGCGCAACUUCGGAAUUGCCUCUGAUACGGUUCGGAUAGAGAGUAGUUGCGGUAGGCGGAAUGUAUGGUGGAGCAGUGAAAUGCUUAGAGAUCAUACAGAACACCGAUUGCGAAGGCAGCUUACCAAGCUACUUCUGACGUGGAGGCACGAAAGCGUGGGGAGCAAACAGGAGUAGAUACCCUAGUAGUC